rnacentral:rRNA from 1 species
UGGGGAAUUUUGGACAAUGGGGGCAACCCUGAUCCAGCAAUGCCGCGUGUGUGAAGAAGGCCUUCGGGUUGUAAAGCACUUUUGUCCGGGAAGAAAUCGCACCUGAUAAUACCGGGUGUGGAUGACGGUACCGGAAGAAUAAGGACCGGCUAACUACGUGCCAGCAGCCGCGGUAAUACGUAGGGUCCAAGCGUUAAUCGGAAUUACUGGGCGUAAAGCGUGCGCAGGCGGUUGUGCAAGACCGAUGUGAAAUCCCCGGGCUUAACCUGGGAAUUGCAUUGGUGACUGCACGGCUAGAGUGUGUCAGAGGGGGGUAGAAUUACACGUGUAGCAGUGAAAUGCGUAGAGAUGUGGAGGAAUACCGAUGGCGAAGGCAGCCCCCUGGGAUAACACUGACGCUCAUGCACGAAAGCGUGGGGAGCAAACAGG